AAGGGAAGGUGGAGUCAGGGAAGGACUUGUUUGAGAGGAUACUGGGAGGAGAGAUGAUAUUGGAUUGUAAAGUGAAUAAAUAAAUAAAUUUUAUAAAAAUCAAUACUCCUUAAGCCAGAUGUUGAAACAUUUCUCAAUUAAAGCUCCUUCCUUUCAGGUAGCUCUAAUUUGAGUGUCAAGUUGACUUAAGACUAGCCCGCAUAUUCUGUUAUCUUAAUAAAGUAUGCCAUCAUGAGAAUACUGGUGCUGUUUAAACCUUAGAAGUACAUUAUUAUUUCCUAUGAUGUCUUCUAUGGAAGAAUUCAAUGUGGACCACUUGGACUCCCUCAUGAACCAGAAUUCAUAUUUCUUUUGCAAGUUGGUGUAUUAUUCCUUUCUUAGUGUUCUUUGUAAAAUGCCAGUUUCCAUAUCUCAACCAAUUCACUCAGCUACUUUGUAGUGGACUAGGCAUUGUGAAUUUUAUCACCUUGAAAAUAUAACACUGUGCAUUCAAAAUUCACAGAACAUUUCUCAAAAGGCUUUUUUCCUACCAUUUCAGAUUAACUAACUUAGGCUCAGUCAAAUAAGGGUUAAUUCUCAUCUGUUUUUCCCCUAACUAUUUAUAUAUCUAAAACAUCUAUACCUCAUAUAAUUUAGGAUGUGAGAAGUUCCAAUUACUAUCAUGAUGCUUAAACAACUUUCUUGUAUGACCUGUUUUUGCAAUAGCAUUGUUUUAUUUAUUCAAUAAAUAUUUAAAAUUUAAUAUGUUCUGUAGAGUGGUGAUAUUAAAUCAUCAAGACUCAGUAAAGUGAUGAACCAAAGAAGGGCCUGGUCAUACCGAUGUUUUAUCCAGAAGGACAUUUUUUAGCUUUCGCAUAUGUCAGCUACCCCUUGUAUGGUACUACUCCAUGGUGAGUACACUGACUGAGGCAGAGAAGUCCGUCUCUGAACAUCAGAAUUGAAAAAUUAAAAGAAAACAUCUGCACACAGAUUGUGCCAAUUAUCAUAGCAAUUCUAGGAAAAGACAGUGUUCCCUUCGGGCUUGCUCAUCAAACCUUCCUGAAUGUGUUUGACAGUGACAUCAGGCACUUUUCAUUUCUACUGAAUUGAAACAGAGGAGCGACAGAAACAUUUCCACUGAAUGCUCCACGUGAGAAUGACGCUUAUUAGAAGCUAAGCAAGAGAGACUUCAGAGGAUUCACAUGAGACACCGUAUUUCCUCAGUUCUCUUAAGCAUGUACUAGAAUUUUAAAUAGUGAAAUACUUCUGCUCCCAGUGAAAUGUUAGGUUGAUAGCAGUUUACAUAAUUUACUGACUCUUAAAAACAGGAUCUCCCAGAGAAACAGGAAGCAAACCAUUACUUAUUCAAGUUCAAAUACUCAGAGGAUUUAUGAAGCAGAAAGCAAAAGCUGCCACGUGAAAUAAUGUCUUUUAGAAUUCACAGAAAAGAAAUGCAGUAUUAGAGAUUGGGAAAAAAUGUUAAAUGAGGAAGAAAAUGGAAGUUACAUGAAAAAAAUAGGAUACAAAAACAUUAAGUUAUUCUGUGAAAAGUGAAAACAUAUCUAUAACAAAAAUGUUCAUAAAUGUUCACAGGUGCACAAUUUACAACAGGAAAAGGAACGGUAUGAAAAUCCUUUCAAAAAAUUAAUAAAAGAACUAGAUGUUAUGCCCAUAAAGUGGGUAUAGCUUUAGAAGAAGCAGUAAUGGGGAAUAAGGCAUAGGGACACUUAUCUAUGAGAAAUGAAGAUAACAGGCAAAUGCUGACAGAGACUGAACUAAGAGUUUUCCUUUUAUAACGAGCUGCAGGGGGAUGACCGGUGAGAGUAAAUGACAUAGAACAGAUCUCUGUGAAUAUGGAAAGAAUGUAAAAUUGAUUGUGAUUAUUGCAUCAAACUUUGAAUGUAAUAAAAACUUUGGGUCUUCUGGCUUAAAUGGAUGAACGUUUUUCCAUGCGUAGUAAACCACAAAAGUAUCAAGCUUUACCUAGAAAACAGAUUUGAGGAAUUCACAGGCUCAAAACAAAAUCAGAAGAAAACCAUUGAGUUAAUGAGUACUGAGUAGCACUUACUCAUUUUGAAAAACUUCGAUGGCCGUGUGGGUUUUGUCUUCAUUUAUUUUAUGAACCGCUGUGUUCAUAGAAACAUUAUCUUCCCUGGAAGAAGUAGUGAAUCAGUGACUUGUAGAAAGUUGCUCUUUAUAUUUUAGUGAUUGGAAAUUUUAUGAAGCGUACUUUGGGAUGUACAUUGGGAUAUUAUAGUGUUCAAUAAUAUUCCUAACCAGU
rnacentral:lncRNA from 1 species